rnacentral:rRNA from 1 species
GACGAACGCUGGCGGCGUGCCUAAUACAUGCAAGUAGAACGCUGAAGGAGGAGCUUGCUUCUCUGGAUGAGUUGCGAACGGGUGAGUAACGCGUAGGUAACCUGCCUGGUAGCGGGGGAUAACUAUUGGAAACGAUAGCUAAUACCGCAUAAGAGCAGAUGUUGCAUGACAUUUGCUUAAAAGGUGCAAUUGCAUCACUACCAGAUGGACCUGCGUUGUAUUAGCUAGUUGGUGGGGUAACGGCUCACCAAGGCGACGAUACAUAGCCGGCCGGAGAGGGGGAUCGGCCACACUGGGACUGAGACACGGCCCAGACUCCUACGGGAGGCAGCAGUAGGGAAUCUUCGGCAAUGGACGGAAGUCUGACCGAGCAACGCCGCGGGAGUGAAGAAGGUUUUCGGAUCGGAAAGCUCUGUUGUAAGAGAAGAACGAGUGUGAGAGUGGAAAGUUCACACUGUGACGGUAUCUUACCAGAAAGGGACGGCUAACUACGUG